rnacentral:tRNA from 1 species
AAGAUUUUAAGUUAUUCAAACUAAUGACCUUCAAAGUCAUUUAAAAAAGUUCAUACCCUUUUAAAUCUUA